AGCUCAGUUUCUCACUCCGAAGUGGCAGAAGCCAGAGAGGGAGUCGGUGUGGACGCGAGGAGCCGGGCGCUUAGAACAGAGGCUUGCACAGGUGGAGAUGUGGAAGUCUGUAGUGGGCCAUGAUGUGUCUGUUUCCGUGGAGACCCAGGGUGAUGAUUGGGACACAGAUCCUGACUUUGUGAAUGACAUCUCUGAAAAGGAGCAACGAUGGGGAGCCAAGACCAUCGAGGGGUCUGGACGCACAGAACACAUCAAAAACAGUUCAGCUUGUGGACCACACACUGAGUGGCACUGCUCUGGAAUAAUCUUUCAGCACUUCCUGGAACCUGUCUGGCCUUUAGAUUAAAUCUUUACUGAGCUAUAAUCGUAGGAUGUCUGCCUCAGUGGCCCUGUCCUCUUCUUGUGCCCUGACAUUUUAUAGCAAGUGGAAAUAAAGAAUGGUGUAAUGCCAAGAGUAUAGAAAUAGAAUUCUGGAGCUCUAGGGACUGAUUCCAGCUCUGCUGUAAAAAGGCUUAUGAUGCUGAGGAGAGUAAUAAUAUUUUAACAUCCUAUCUUGAUUUCCAGCACUGACUGGAGAUUAUAGU
rnacentral:sRNA from 1 species